GUCAUGAGUCAAGAAGGACCUUCAGGAAGAACCAAAGUAACCAAAAAAAGGACAUAUGCUAAAGAAGGAUCAUUAUCAUCCUUGGUACAACAAAGACGAUCAUAUUUGACAACAAAAGAAACUCUUCAGGCUGUGCGGUCAGAGAAAAAGAACCUGCUAAAGUUAAUUGACAAAGAAUAGCCAAUUGCAAAACAACAACGAGUUACACCACAAUCUAAAACAAAUCAACAAUGUGUAGAGGAGCAACAAACUGUAGAGGAGCAACCAACUGUAGAGGAGCAGGUUCAAAUGGAUUCUACAAGCACUCUUCCAAUAAACGAACAAUCCGAAGAACAAGCUUCAGACCCUUCCACUCAAAAAAAUACUAAAGGUACAACACAAAUGUAAAGUGUACAUAGGAGAAAUUAUCCUACUAAACAACAACAAUCAACCAGUUGGUCCAACCAAAGAUGUUGUAGAGUUAAGUAGCUUUCUUGGCACAUUCGAAAGGAAUGCGACUCUUUGCCCUCUAGAGAUAUUAGAUUGGAGGUAUAUGAACACAAAAGAUGAUUUAUGGACAUAUACAGAGGAGGAAUAUGAUAUCACUGAUGAUGCGAUAGAAUGGGCGUUAGAAGUAAUUGGAUCUGCUUGGAGAAGACAUAAAUUUGAUCUAAAGAAAUUAUGUUACAAACCAUGUACUAGUCAUGAAGUUCUAAUGGGAAAACGACUUCCUUAUGUUUCAGAAUGUCAACUUAAGGAACUUCUCAAA